rnacentral:misc_RNA from 1 species
AACGCACCUUGCGCUCCUUGGUAUUCCGAGGAGCAUGCCUGUUUGAGUGUCAGUAAAUGCUCAAGCUCUUCAGCUUUUUCUUGUUGGAGGGACUUGGAUGUUGGAGGUUUUGCAGGCCUUGUUUAUGCAAGUCUGCUCCUCUAAAAUGCAUUAGCAAGAACUGUGUUGGGAAUCCUCACAGGGUGUGAUAACAUCUACACCUAGUGGAUGGCUCCAUAGUCAGUUCAGCUUCUAAUUGUCCCGCAAAGGUGACAGCACUAACCGAAUGUUUGACCUCAAAUCAGGUAGGACUACCCGCUGAACUUAA